rnacentral:rRNA from 1 species
GAAUGGCCGGAUGCUUUAACAUGCAGUCGAGCGGCAGCGCGGGGCAACCUGGCGGCGAGCGGCGAACGGGUGAGUAAUGCAUCGGAACGUACCCAUUUGUGGGGGAUAACUAUCCGAAAGGAUAGCUAAUACCGCAUAAGUCCUGAGGGAGAAAGCGGGGGAUCGCAAGACCUCGCGCGAAUGGAGCGGCCGAUGCCGGAUUAGCUAGUUGGUAGGGUAAAGGCCUACCAAGGCGACGAUCCGUAGCUGGUCUGAGAGGAUGAUCAGCCACACUGGGACUGAGACACGGCCCAGACUCCUACGGGAGGCAGCAGUGGGGAAUUUUGGACAAUGGGCGAAAGCCUGAUCCAGCCAUUCCGCGUGAGUGAAGAAGGCCUUCGGGUUGUAAAGCUCUUUCGGCAGGAACGAAACGGUUUGGGCUAAUACCCUGAGCUAAUGACGGUACCUGAAGAAGAAGCACCGGCUAACUACGUGCCAGCAGCCGCGGUAAUACGUAGGGUGCGAGCGUUAAUCGGAAUUACUGGGCGUAAAGCGUGCGCAGGCGGUUAUGUAAGACAGAUGUGAAAUCCCCGGGCUUAACCUGGGAACUGCGUUUGUGACUGCAUAACUUGAGUGUGGCAGAGGGGGGUGGAAUUCCACGUGUAGCAGUGAAAUGCGUAGAGAUGUGGAGGAACACCGAUGGCGAAGGCAGCCCCCUGGGUCAACACUGACGCUCAUGCACGAAAGCGUGGGUAGCAAACAGGAUUAGAUACCCUGGUAGUCCACGCCCUAAACGAUGCCAACUAGGUGUUGGGGAAGGAGACUUCCUUAGUACCGUAGCUAACGCGUGAAGUUGGCCGCCUGGGGAGUACGGUCGCAAGAUUAAAACUCAAAGGAAUUGACGG